rnacentral:lncRNA from 1 species
AUAGUUUAUUUCACCUUAUGCAGCUACGAGGGAUACCUCAGCCAGCGCAGGAAUCCAAUGAACCAUCUGAGUUUGUUAUGAUCCCUAAUCCUAGGUUUAUACCUCUAUCAGAAACUUAGCAGUCCACUCAAACUACUCAGUCCAGUUAGCAUAUAACUCAACAAUACACUCAGACUACUCAAUCCAGGCAGUAGGCAACACAACAAUAUAAUGUGAC